rnacentral:tRNA from 1 species
GGCCCGUUGGUGAAGCGAUUUAACACACGCCCCUCUCAAGGGCGCAUUCAUGAGUUUGAAUCUCAUACGGGUCACCA